GUGGGGAAUUUUGGACAAUGGGCGCAAGCCUGAUCCAGCAAUGCCGCGUGCAGGAAGAAGGCCUUCGGGUUGUAAACUGCUUUUGUACGGAACGAAAAGGCUCUGGUUAAUACCUGGGGCUCAUGACGGUACCGUAAGAAUAAGCACCGGCUAACUACGUGCCAGCAGCCGCGGUAAUACGUAGGGUGCAAGCGUUAAUCGGAAUUACUGGGCGUAAAGCGUGCGCAGGCGGUUUUGUAAGACAGGCGUGAAAUCCCCGGGCUCAACCUGGGAAUGGCGCUUGUGACUGCAAGGCUGGAGUGCGGCAGAGGGGGAUGGAAUUCCGCGUGUAGCAGUGAAAUGCGUAGAUAUGCGGAGGAACACCGAUGGCGAAGGCAAUCCCCUGGGCCUGCACUGACGCUCAUGCACGAAAGCGUGGGGAGCAAACAGGAUUAGAUACCCUAGUAGUCC
rnacentral:rRNA from 1 species